rnacentral:miRNA from 9 species
CAUCUUACCGGACAGUGCUGGA